UUUGUGCAGAUCCUGACGCAGCGCGUCCAAUCAGCACAACAGAGGGUACCGAAGCGGCGCGCUCGAGACGGGUCGGACGGUGACAACGGCUUGGGCUCCAGUGGUUCGUACGUGGACUCACUGGCCGGCAGCAGAGGGUCUCGGAAUGAAGAGCUGCUGGAAACUCUGAACUAUGCGAAACAGCAACGGGGUCCGUGAUCGCCAUCGCGGCAGCUGCCAUCAAGACAUUCCAGCUAGACAAGUUGUGGAGGCCACUCUCUUACUUCCCAAAACCACACAACGGAAGCACAGGUUGGUAAGAAAUUGGUUAGUUACACCAAGGUAACACGUAAAAUUAAAAAUGCGAUAAGAUGCUUCCCGAUGGAGUGGCCAGUGGCCUGCCUCCAUCCCACUCGCACAAGUGGAUUUUGCUCGCUCAGAACUGUUUCUAAAUUUUAUUGGGCGGACAGGUGUUAAGUAAAUUACCUUACCCCUAGGAAUUUUUAUAACUUUAUUCACGUCACAUGAAAGUGCAGAGAGGAUAGUGUAUGUGAAUAAUUAGU